GGCAACAUGACCGAGUGGUUAAGGUGUCAGAUUCGAACUGGUCGGUCCUAUCUGAUCCUCUUUGAGGGCGCAGGUUCGAAUCCUGCUGUUGUCG